GACGAACGCUGGCGGCGUGCCUAACACAUGCAAGUCAAGGGUCCUUCGGGGCACUGGCGCACGGGUGAGUAACGCGUAGGUAAUCUGCCCAUAUCACAGACAUAACAUCGGGAAACGGGUGCUAAUAUCUGAUGAGGCCUAAGGGUCAAAGUAGCAAUACGGAUAUGGAUGAGCCUGCAUUUGAUUAGCUUGUUGGCGGGGUAACGGCCCACCAAGGCGACGAUCAAUAGCUGGUCUGAGAGGACGAUCAGCCACACUGGAACUGAGACACGGUCCAGACUCCUACGGGAGGCAGCAGUGAGGAAUUUUGCACAAUGGGCGAGAGCCUGAACCAGCCAUGUCGCGUGAAGGAAGAAUGUCCUAUGGAUUGUAAACUUCUUUUAUACAGGAAUAAAGUGUACUACGUGUAGUAUUUUGUAUGUACUGUAUGAAUAAGGAUCGGCUAACUCCGUGCCAGCAGCCGCGGUAAUGAGUAGUA
rnacentral:rRNA from 1 species